GACGAACGCUGGCGGCGUGCUUACCACAUGCAAGUCGAACGGAAAGGCCCUGCUUUUGUGGGGUGCUCGAGUGGCGAACGGGUGAGUAACACGUGAGUAACCUGCCCUUGACUUUGGGAUAACUUCAGGAAACUGGGGCUAAUACCGGAUAGGAGCUCCUGCUGCCUGGUGGGGGUUGGAAAGUUUCGGCGGUUGGGGAUGGACUCGCGGCUUAUCAGCUUGUUGGUGGGGUAGUGGCUUACCAAGGCUUUGACGGGUAGCCGGCCUGAGAGGGUGACCGGCCACAUUGGGACUGAGAUACGGCCCAGACUCCUACGGGAGGCAGCAGUGGGGAAUAUUGCACAAUGGGCGGAAGCCUGAUGCAGCAACGCCGCGUGCGGGAUGACGGCCUUCGGGUUGUAAACCGCUUUCGCCUGUGACGAAGCGUGAGUGACGGUAAUGGGUAAAGAAGCACCGGCUAACUACGUG
rnacentral:rRNA from 1 species